CCUACGGGCUGCAGCAGUGGGGAAUCUUGCGCAAUGGGCGAAAGCCUGACGCAGCAACGCCGCGUGCGGGAUGAAGGCCCUCGGGUUGUAAACCGCUUUCAGUGGGGACGAACCAAGACGGUACCCACAGAAGAAGCCCCGGCCAACUACGUGCCAGCAGCCGCGGUAACACGUAGGGGGCAAGCGUUGUCCGGAUUUAUUGGGCGUAAAGAGCUCGUAGGUGGUUCGAUAAGUCGGGUGUGAGACCUCCAGGCUCAACCUGGAGACGCCACCCGAUACUGUCGUGACUAGAGUCCAGUAGGGGAGCGUGGAAUUCCUGGUGUAGCGGUGAAAUGCGCAGAUAUCAGGGGGCACACCAGCGGCGAAGGCGGCGCUCUGGGCUGGCACUGACACUGAGGAGCGAAAGCGUGGGGAGCGAACAGGAUUAGAUACCCGAGUAGUC
rnacentral:rRNA from 1 species